UCACGGUUAAUGAGUAGCUGAGCUGAGAUUUGAACCCAAGGUUUUCUCACAACGCGCCAAGCUGCCUCUCCUCCCAUCUUUCUCCAGCCGGACGGUAGAACUGACAGGGGAUCUGGAGACAGUCUCCCACUUCCCUGCUGAGAUCGAAGGCCCAGAAGUGUGCACUGAAUCACCCAGAGGCAGUUACGGAAGCCUGGGCCAGUGCUGUCCACAUAAAUAUGUUUUCCUGCCUUCUUUGAAUCUGUAUCUGGUGGAUGAGAUGUAGUGGAAAUGUUUUCUAAGAGUUCCAGUAAAGCUGCAUAAAAGGCGGGAGGAGUCCCCUUCCCAACACCCCUGUGAAAUGGUCAUCCAGCCUCUGCAAAAGCACUCUGCUGAAUCCAACAGGUAAUUAGCUUCUCAUCUGUUAAUGAAUGAAAUCUCGUUAAGAGACGAAAUCCACAACCCUGAGAUGGUGAGCAGCCAGAUGUGCCUGCCCUCAAGGAUCUCACUGUCCAAGGUGCUAAGCGACUGAGCAUAUUUGUAAUGCAGUCCGCGGUCCUCAAGGCAAUUUUCAGCAAGGAAAA